CUCACUGAUGUGAUGUCACAGUAGUAUCUGUUCUUAUCAGUUUAAUAUCUGAUAUGUCCCCUAUCUGGGUGCCAUAUAUUAAAUGGAUUUUUUUUAUCAGGGAGAUGGAAGAAGAGCUUGCUCUGUCCACUGCACGCAUUGGUGCUUGGGCUCGGUUGUUAGCUAGAUCAGUAGAGCAUGGCUC